AAAAGGUACUUCAUUUUUGGUAAAAGUAAUAGAUAAUUUUUUUUUUCGCUAAAUAUUCCACAGAUCGAUGUAACUCGUCAAGCAGAAUCCGAGAAGAAAAGUGACCGGGGGUGCUGUUUGCUUACAAUCCGACCCUGCUUCGUGUACAAAUGCAAUGCCAUUUCGGCAGGGCUAUAGGCUACGAAACCUUUCGAACUCGAAAAGGCGCUACUAAUUUUGAAUAGGUACUUAAUAUUGGGUAAAAGUAAUAGAUAAGAUUGUUUUACAUUAAAUAUUUGACAGAUCGAUGUAACUCGUCAAGCGGAAUCCGAGAAGAAAAAUGACGGAUGUGCUGUUUGCUGAUAGUCCAGAACGGCUUCGUGUACAAAUGCAUGGCGGGGAGACCAGAAAGUUUUCGAAACUGCGUGAGUGGAAGUCUGCGUUGGACAAAUUUUGAAAAUAUCUGAAGGUUUAACGAAUUUUGGAGAAUUCGACAGAGCUACAGACUACGAAACCUUUCGAAACGAACACACGUGUCCUGUUGAACUUGAAAAAAGACGAAAUUAUUUUUAAAAAGAUCAUGGUAACUCGUGAAGCAACAUCUCAGAAUUGAAUCGGGGAACGAGGAAUCAAAAAAAGGUUAACAAUUUGGAUCAUUUUGGAAGAUACAUACGCCGCGCUUUUCAAAGCGGACAGACGUGCCCUUGUCCAACUGAAACGAACACACGUGUCCUGUUGAACUUGAAAAAAGACGAAAUUAUUUUAAAAAGGUAUAUUGUUGCUAAAUAAUAGAUUUUUUUUUAAUUAAAAUAUUUGACAGAUCAUGGUAACUCGUGAAGCAACAUCUCAGAAUUGAAUCGGGGAGUUGUGUAUUUGCUGGCAAUCCGGGCCUGCUUGGAUCAUUUUGGAAGAUACAUACGCCUGCGCUUUUCAAAGCGGACAGACGUGCCCGUGUCCCACUUGACAAAGGCGGAAUUAUUUUAGGAAAGACCAUGGCAACUAGUAAAGCAGAAUCCGAGAAUUCAAUCGGCGGCUG